rnacentral:lncRNA from 1 species
GACGGAACUCCCAGGCCAGAGCCCGCAGCAAGGAUGACUUCUCUUGCUUUGGUUAAUAUCCUGUGAAAUGACUAAAUGCAAAUGGACCGACGGAGCGCUAGGUCCUGGGCUGACGGGCCACCCUAAUUCGAGGGAACAUCCGUAUCCUAUCUCGACACUGUUUGUCUCUCUCCGUCUCCACCACCGUCACCUCUGGAUCCAGCCUGGUGCCACCAUGCAGACGAAACUUCCGUCACACCUGUCUCCAGCCAAAGGCAUAAAUAAUCCGCCACGGGGAGGCUGGAAACUAUUUGAGAGCCAACAGCGUGAGGGGCUCCAUUGGGAGAAUCGUGUCUGUGCCCCAGAUUUCUAGCUCUCUGCUCAGCUCCCACCUGGGGUCUGCCUGAGUGACGUGCCCUCGCCUUGUCCCGAGAACCCUGGUCGAAGAAGCGUCUCUGUCUGCUCUGGCACUCACU